rnacentral:lncRNA from 1 species
CGAAACAUCGUAUGUCUCAAAACCAUGCGCCCAUAGUUGUUGCAACUCGUAUAUUAGUGGUUGAAGAAACACAUCUAGUGAUCUUUUAGGAUGAUCUGGCCCGGGGACGAGAAUUGAGAGAAACAAAAACUCUCGUCGCAUGCACAAGCUCGGCCGUAAGUUGUACGGUGUCACAAUAACUGGCCAUAGAGAAUACUACCUUCCAUGCUUUCCAAAUGGGCUGAAACCAUCAGUAGAUAAUCCAAGAUAAACAUUUCUUCUCUCUUCCGCGAAUUCUGGAUAUGUUGACUGGAAAUGUUUCCAAGCCUUUGCAUCUGAAGGAUGUCUAAUCUCAC